UACGGACAUAUCAUGUUGAAACAUCAGUUCCUAUGCGACCACCGAAGUUAAGCAACGUCGAGACUGGUCAGUACCUAGAUGGGUGACCGCUUGGGUAUACCAGAUGUGGUA